ACCGCAUAACUUAAAAUCCGCACCGUCCCACAUAGUUUAAAACCUGCACCAUAUCGCACCCGCACCACCCCAUUGCCAUCCCUACCUAUAUGUAUACGUGUAUAUUUACCAGCUUAUCCUGAUAAGUAAAAUUAUCUCUGUAUGUAUAUGUAUAUAUUUACCAACUUGUCCGGAUAAGUAAAAAUAUAAAAUUAUAUGUAUAUAUUUAUCAGCUUGUCCUGAUAAGUAAAAUUAUGUGUAUAAUUUAUCAGCUUGUCCUGAUAAGUAAAGCUAUCUCUAUAUAUGUAUGUAUAUAUUUAUCAAUUUGUCCUGAUAAGUAAAAAUAUAAAAUUAUAUGUAUAUGUAUAUAUUUACCAGCUUAUCCUGAUAAGUAAAACUAUCUCUAUAUGUAUAUGUAUAUAUUUAUCAACUUGUCCUGAUAAGUAAAAAUGUAAAAUUAUAUGUAUAUUUAUAUAUUUACCAGCUUGUCUUGAUAAGUAAAAAUGUAAAAUUAUAUGUAUAUUUAUAUAUUUACCAGCUUGUCCUGAUAAGUAAAAUUAUAUGUAUAUAUUUACCAGCUUGUCAUGGUAAGUAAAACUAUCUCUAUAUUUAUAUGCAUAUGUAUAUAUUUACCAGCUUGUCUUGAUAAGAAACUAUUUCUAUAUGCAUAUGUAUAUAUUUAACAGCUUGUCCUGGUAAGUAAAACUAUCUCUCUCUAUAUAUAUGUAUAUGUAUAUAUUUAUCAGCUUGUACUAGUAAGUAAAACUCUCUAUAUAUGUAUAUGUAUUAUAUGUAUAUAUUUACCAGCUUGUCCUAGUAAGUAAAACUAUCUCUAUAUGUAUAUGUAUAAAUUUACCAGCCUGUCAUAAUCUACAGGUACAGUAAUUGUGCAGGAAAUUGUUUUUCCAUUUGCAUCAGCUGGCCAAAGUCCAUGAAGUGUGAAUUCAUGAUCACGAAUUGGUUUAAUGCACUGAGCUGGAGGUCUUAGCUUCAGACAAAAUGUUGGUGGCCAUGUAAGCACAUACCACAUCAGUGCUGGUACAGGAGGGGCUUUGAGAUCAUCAACAUGAAGAAAUAAAGUUGUUUUGUCUUGGUAACUAACAUUAAAAAUUAUUGCAAGUAGAACAAUUAUGAGUAGAAGAAAAAGAAGAAGAAGGUAAGAAAGUUUCUUCAUGUUUGGUUGGGGGAGGAUUGGUUGGUUGAGUGGAUUGAUGAAGCAAUGGAGGGGGUGAUUUAUAAGAAAAUUUAUAGGCAAGGGUGGAUCUACUAAGACGGUGGCAAAGUCAGGAUUUUCAUUGAGGGGGUUCAGAAGUAUAUAUAUACGAACUAGUCGAAGAGGUUCAACAUUUAUUAUAUAUGUAUAAGAAAUAUUUUUAACCAUGUACAAAUAGUAUAAAAAUUAUAUAAUUUUCCGUCGAGUGAGGUUCGUAUGAACCCCAUGGAGCAAAGGUGGCUCCGCCACUGUACUAAGGUCCCUGGGUGUCACGUGACAUUGCUUAGUCAGAAAAAAAUUAUUAAAGAAAUAAGCAUUCAGUGCCUCCGAACUAUGGUUAAAGUUGUUGCGACACAGUCUAACUUCACAGGGAUCCUAUUACCUGUCUGAACUUAUUUUUAGCCUUUUUUUAGUCACUCUUUUGUGUUGAUGUGGCACCUUUAUUAUAUAAAAUGGGGUCCACUUCAAAGAUACCAUGUCAACUAAAAAGAUUGACAAAAAUACGUUAAAAUUUAGCUCAAAAACUAAUAAGAUCAUUGUGAAAUUGAAGUAUAUCUUAGCAAAUUUUGUCAUAAUUCAGGAAGUACGAGAUACUUUACUCUUUAUUAAAUAUGUAUAUAUAUAUAUAUAUAAAAUUAAAAACGUGAAACAGUUAAAUGGUAGUAUUAUAGGUUACUCUAACUUGAUGUAAAUACAUUGUACGUUGUUCGAAUCCACUUCUAAGCAGGCAAAACGUCCAAAUCAUAGCCGGGAGCGAGUCGAAUUUCUAAAUAAAAGUAAAAGAGUAAGCAAAAAAAUAUGAACGCUCCUGCACUAUAUGAACGACUUUUUGGCGGAAGGGUUGGAGCUCGGGGCAGAUUCAAAAAAAAAAAAACGGCUGAUUACUCGGAUUGAUUCUCGCAUCCUUAUACCCAAAAGAAUGAACGAGUUUGAUUUGAGUGUUCAUCAAUCGGGUGAAUCUAUAUGCUUCGGGAUGGUGACACGAGAAAUUAAACUGUCGAUUGAAACUGCAAUUUACGAAAAUUAUAAACCUAUAUUAUUUGUUGUCAGCAAAUAGUAGAGGUUUUAAACCUCCAUAAAUUACGAUUUUAAGCUUCGUAAUUUAUCUUCUUUUUUUUUUAGUGUUGUAUAUACUAUAUCCUUUGUUAGAAUUGUUGUACACCACAAACUACUAUUGUGGAAUGUUUGAAUUAUUGUAGAACCACGUUUAUAAUAUGAAAUAUAUAUACACAAAAAGACAUGUCUUAUUUAUAUCAUCAGAAACAUACAAGUUUGAGUCAUUGAGUGGUCCACUAGCUAGGAUGAUAUUUGAGAUUUUGACCCAAAUCAUCCCUUAUGUUUCACCAUAACUUUUAUUACAUCCCUAUAAUAUCGUACUUAAUCUAAAACAUCCUUUAAGUUUCUCAAAGUUGAUCAAAGACAUCCCUAUAAUAUCGUACUAACCUAAAACAUUCUUCAAGUUUCUCAAAGUUGAUCAAAGACAUCCCUAUAAUAUCGUACUAACCUAAAACAUUCUUCAAGUUUCUCAAAGUUGAUCAAAGACAUUCCUCUGUCACUAUUACCGUCUAUAAUUAACGAAACUUUUCUCUUGGCACGUGACUUUUCUUUAUCCUCCAUCUUCUUCCAAAAUCCUUAUUCUUGCCUCCUAUUCUCCUUUUUACAGAACAAAAAGGUACUUUAGGAAUGCUUGAAUAGGGUUUAUAAAUUGCACGAUUCAUAAAUUCACUUCAACGGGGACAAUUUACCACCGCCUUACAACCAGAAGGAGAAUUAAAGCUACAAAUAUAAACACUUGUUAAUGAAAUUCAUUGCUUUAACUGCCCUCAAAUUUCUCCACUUCAAGAAGAAAAAAAACUUGUGGAAUUGAUGAAUCCAUCCUUUCGCAUAAUUUCACUAAGUUCAACUCCCUGGACUCCCUCAAGAGUAACAGCAGCCCCUCUGAGAUCAAGUCCUGCAAGAAUAAAUUAUUCAACCAUUAGAAACCCUAUUCAAGCUUUCCUAAAGUGCCAUUUUGUUCUGUAGAAGGGAGAAUAGGAGGCAAAAAUAAGGAUUUUGGAAGAAGAAAAGUCACGUGCCAAGAGAAAAGUUUCGUUGAUUAUAGACAGUAAUAGUGGCAGAGGGACGUCUUUGAUCAACUUUGAGAAACUUGAAGGAUGUAUUAGGUUAGUAUAAUAUUAUAGGGAUAUCUUUGAUCAACUUUGAGAAACUUGAAGGAUGUUUUAGGUUAAGUACGAUAUUAUAGGGAUGUAGUUAAAGUUUUGGUGAAACAUAGGGGAUGAUUUGGGUCAAAAUCUUGAUAAUAUUUACCUAUGUAAGGGUAAAAAUGUAUAGUGGCUUGGUGAAAUAUCAGACCACGACUUGCGCAGACUAAAAGUUCUCUCCGAACCGUACGGACUGGAUAGUCACCCAUCACACGGCUCUCGAACCCAACCUGUGGUGGAUCCCGGGAGACAAAGUCAAAACGCAACAUUCUUUGCCCCAUACUUUGAGAUUCUCUUCUCCUGUUUUACGAAUCAUAUGACAGCAACUUUAUCAGUUCACAUAAUUAUCUAUUUCACUUUAAUAAAUAUAUAUGAGCAUCAAGUAAUUAUACAAAACAACAGCAAAGGGAUAAGAGAGGCUCAAUAUAUGAGGUUGGAUAUCCUUAAUUAUUAAUAAACACACAUUUUUUCUAAUGAGAGGAAUCUCUUUAGACAUCACAUAACAAAAUUCUUCAUGAAAAAAAAAAAUUCACUAGAAAAAAAAAAAAGAUAAUAUUAGACAAUAAAUUCAAUGGAUGAGAAUUUUUUCCAAUUUCAAAUAAUAUGUUUUGGUUUGAUUUUAUUUUUUUUUUCUUAUUUUAGCUAAAGGACCACUAGGUAAGUUUUGUUACAAAUAAUACAUUCGAUUUCACGUGAAUGAAUAUUAAGACUAUUUGUAUGUUAGCAAAUUCGACAAAUUUGUAUUAAUGGGUAGAUGGUCCUAUUUAAAUUUUGGUAUGAGUAGCUUAUUCAUUACAUAAUAGUGAUCUUUAGAAAAGGAAAAAAAUGCAGUUCGGUGCACUAAAGUUUUUAUUAUGUUCAGAGCUCAGGAAAAGGCGCAGCGAUAUCAUAAGUGUUUAUCGUACGCGACCUUACCAUUUUUUCAAAAGAUUUUUUCCACUGCGCUUGAAUCCAUUACCGCCUAGUUACACAGUAACAAUUUUACGACUUACGAGUUACUCAAAGGCUAACUACCUUUAAAAUCUCAAACUAUAUCAUGUUUAUAUCAAACUAAUAAAUUAGAAUAUUGAGUUUUUACACACUCUUAUAUAUGUGUGUGUAUUUCACCUUAAUUUCACCCACUCGUAGUAUAUUAUUAAUAAGGUCUGGUCGAUAUAAAUAAUUAGUCUGAAUAAGUGUUUUUGUGAAUAUUAAAUUUUAUCUAUCUCAUAUUUCACAAAACUUAAUCAUGAAAUGUCUGCAUUUUAUCCCAUUCAACUCAAAAUUAUUUCAUGAUAGAAUUAUAAUCUCAAGAAUUUAAUCCUGAAUAAUUUAGUCCUAUACCAAAUGACACCUUAGAGAUUAUAAAGGUGGGAGGAGUAUGGCAUUGCAUUCGUACUUUGAUUACCUCAGAUCAUAAACAAAUUUUGUGCCAGAUUAUCUUUAAAUUGGGCAAGAUAAUGGAUAAUUGGGUGGCUUUUUAAAAUUUGAAGGAAUAUUAUACCACUAUUUUUGUAAUAAAUCCAAAAUUUUAAGACAAAGACAUAUUGUAUUAUUUAAGCAUAGAAAAUUUUAAUUUUUGUCUGUUUAUAUAUUUAAAGUAGGACUCCCAAAAUAUAUUUAUAUAUUUUGCUCUUCAUGAAAUUCUAUGUUAUCAUGAAAAAAAUACAUAAAGUAGCAUACUUAAGUAUUAAAUUACAAAAAAUAGAGACACUUUUAUCAAAUUACAUUAUGUAGCAUUAAUAAGUUGUUUUCACUUACACGUCUUCAACUGCAACAGUCUUUUUUUGAUAAGUUUAAAUCACUAGACUGAGUGUCUAACGAUCUUUUAUUAACAAUAAAAUUUAAAGUUCAGUAUGAAUAAGUACCGGGGGGGCAGGGGGAUUUUGGGUUUGGGAGGGGGUGGGUAUGGGUUCUUUCUCUAUGUGUGAAAGUCCCGAUGUGAACUCCUCUACUGAUCUGACUCCAGUGGAUUCUUGAGAAGCCAAUUCUCUCUCUCGAUCUAGAUCUACUUUAUCGACAAGAGCUCUUAAUGAAUGAGCAAUGAAUUCCAUCACCAGCACCACCGAGGUUUCAAGAAGAAACAUAUGUGACAUAUUCAGAAAUAAAAAACGAUAAAAUCAGUAAUAAUGCAGAAAAUAUUUAUACAAUCAGUGUACAUAAUUAAACUUUAAUAUUUAUGUUAAAUCAGAAAAUAUAUAAAUGAAUAGUGAGAUUUAAUAUGUAUCACUUAAUUAUAAUUAAGUAAUAAUAGUGCUUGUAUAAAUACAUACUAUUACUUAAUCAUCGAUAUUCUUUAUAUUUAGUAGUGACUCUUUUUAUUUCAAACUCCUACAUGACAUGUAUAAUUAAGAUUAGAAAAUUCAAAGAGCAUUUAAUGUAUUAUAAUCACAUCUUUAAUUUAAAAGUUAACAUUACUUCUAUUAAACUUCGUACCCGAUCAAAAUAAAAUAUAUAAAAUGAAAUAAACAAAUAUAUAUAUAUAUAUAUAUAUAUAUAUAUAUAUAUUCGUUCUAACAUGUUUAAGAUCAUAAAUUUCAAAACAUCUUAUAAUUGCACAAUUAUUAUGACAUAGUGACUAAAUGUUAAUUUCCUAUGGAGACACCAUCAGAUUAAUUAACUAUGGCUAAGUCCAUCUGAAAUGUUACCGACUAGCCAAUUUCUGACGAAUUACGUUGGAAAUUCUUUUAACAUAUUCAAAACCUCAAAUUUCAAAGUAAAUACCAAAUUUCGACAACGGACAAUAUCACUAGUGAAUUGUGCCGUUAUAGGGGUUUUGAUGGUUCGGUAUGUCCGUCACAGCCAGAACCUCGGCUCGGGUCACAACAAGAAUGGUAUCAGAGUCGCUCCUGUGUCAACCAUGUCAAUGUGGGCCUGAGUUCAAACUGAGUUUAGGCAAAUCCCGGUAAGGCAGGGCAAACCUCAGCGAGGACGCUGAGACCCGAGGUCUUACCCCCUAGUGACGCACAUUUUAGAGCGGCCUGAGUCCAGAGCGGACAUUAUCACUAGUGGGCUGGGCUAAGGGUGUCUCUUGGACCUUCAUGCCCAUCGCCGCCAGGACCUCGGGUUUGGAUCGGGUCGUGACAGACACACUAGCUAAUAAUUAAUUAAAUAUAUAUCGCAUGCAAAUAAAUUUUGUUACCAAUUAAUCAAAAUCCUUACCUUGGAGGUCGAGGAGGGAUCACAAUGUGGGGAAAUUUAUCGCAAUUUCUCGCACGCGGUGGGCACGUGACAAAGCUAGAGCCAUCCAUAGUAGUGCACACGACAGCCUCGCUCAAGUAACCAUGAGUUGUGUUUGUCGAAUCAAUUGCUGUACAUCUCAGGUAAACACCGAGAGCAGGAGCAGGAGCAGGAGCAAACACAGUUUGAAUAGCCUUAAUAAUAUCAUCUUGAGUGUAAGCCACGUGAUCAGAUGAAACAAUGCUACGUGAUGCCAAGUAAUUGUACAAGUUUCCCCUUGUAAACAAGCCAUUAGUCUUUAUGGCUGCAUCAAAGUAUUGUUCUGCUGUUGUUAACCCACACACUCCAUGCUUUUCCCACUCAUGUUUCCAUAUGCUAUAUUUGGGUUGGUUUUCUUUAAGUUCUGGCCAGAAUGUUUUGAGUCGUGAUUCUCUUGGCCGAAUCUGCAGUCCGAAAAAAUUACAUAACAGCACAAUUUAUCUUUACUAAACUAAAAAAAAAAAAAAAGUUCAUUACAUCCACAAAUUCAUAAAUUUUCGAAUAUAUAAUUUCACUUUUGUAUCUCCCUUUGAUCUAGUUAAUGUAUUAUGUAUCUCGAGCAAAUAAUUUCAGAAAAGGAUGUAUGUCAGUAAUUAAAAUUAUGUAUCUCAACUUUAAAAUUAUGUAUCCGGAUGCUAAUUAUGUAUCCAAAAAUUGCAAAAUAAGGGAUUAUUUGUAAUUUAGCAAAGAGUAGGGAUAGGGAGUAAUUAAAGGUAAAAUUAUUAGGGUUUAUGUAAGUUUUUUAAAAAAAAAAAAUAGAUAUUCAACAAUCAAGUUAUUAAUCAGCGAUAAGAUGGGGGUUUUCAGAUGAUGAAAAAAAAAUCCUACACUUAAGAUCAGAGCUGUUAGAAUUAUUUUUUAAAUGUAGACAUAACAUUACCUUAUUAUUAUGUUUUAGUAAAACAGGCUGAACAUUAAUAGCGGGUGGACAAGAUAUAGGUCAUGUAUUUAUGUGGAUUUCAAAUAAAUCUAUAUCAUUUCGGGUGUGUUUGGUAUGAUGGAAAAUGUUUAUGAAAAAUAUUUUUUUGGAAAAUGUUUUCAUGGAAAAUUAGUUGAUUUUCUACUUAUUUUUUCAUGUUUGGUAGGUGAGUGAAAAAUAUUUUAUGGUGUUUGGUUACUGAGUAGAAAAUAAUUUUCUAGAAAAUAAUUUUAGUUGUUUUCUCUUUCGUAAUUCUCCAAGCAUUCGAAAUUAAUUUCAUCUUCCAAGAAUUUAAUCUCCUUGUGACAUUGUGCCCAGGUGGUGGUACCAAGAUAAUCAAGAAACUUCUUGAUUACACAGGGGUCAGACUCAAAUUUGUUCUCAAAUUGGUUCAUAAUCAAAAUCACUCUCUUCACUGCUUCUUCGUCCUCUGGAUCGAGCUCCAUUUUCGCCGUUUGUGCUUGAUUAACCACCAUAGCACCAACUCCUCAAUUUCUCCAGAAAAAUUAAGAGAAUCCAAAGGAAGAAUAUUAAAUAUAUUGAAUUCAUUCAUGAAUGAACUCAGUGAAGUACUUCUCUGUUGCCAUACAUUGUUGGCAAUUAGUAUUGGAUCAAGGUCACAGUAAUUUGAAUAAAAUUUUGAUCAAAAUCAUAGAAAAAAAUUAAUUAUAAAACAUAGAACAAAUUAAUUAUGAAACAUAUCUUGAGAUUCUUGUAAAAGCGCAGUGGAGAGAAAAAAAUGAAAACCCCUAAAAUUGAGAGAAAUUGACAGUGAAGCACGCUUCUAAAGUUUGGGACAAGGAAAGUUAGUGUUGUUAGGGGUAGGGGGGAUAGGGGUGACUAUGGGGAAAAUAACUGGCGCCACAAUUUUUUUUUUCCAGAAAAUGACUUUCCUUGGACUACUAAGGAAGUCAUUUUCCAUCAAAUGAUGGAAAAUAAGUUGUGUUAAAAAAUAUUUUUCUAAUAUUUUGUUGCAACCAAACAAAAAGAAACUGAAAAAUAUUUUUCGGAAAAAAUUUUCCAUCAUACCAAACACACCCUCAUGUAAAAUGUGUAAUCUGAUAAUAGUUUAGGUCUGGUGGCUCAUUAGUCUUCAAUAGGUGCAGACCUUAUACCCCUACUUUGGAGGUACAAAAUCAAAUAAUUUAAAUAUAUUAUUUUAUAGUGUGUGAAGGAUCAAAAACAUGUCUAAAAUAUCUCAAUUUUUUGAGUUUUUUCGUGAACUAUGACUAAAUAUUUAUGAAAAUACACAUGAACUAUCAGAUGUAUAAGUUUCAAAUAUCUUUUCAUAAAUAUUUGUUAUUAGUUGAACUAUGAAAUCAAAAAUCUGAAGCACUUGAUAGUCAGCUAUGAAAUUCAAAUUCAGGUGUGAGUUUUCUACCUGAACUAUCAAUAAAUGUUUAUGGAAACACACCUGCAAUUACUCAUACAUCUAAUAGUUCAGGUGUAUUUUCAUAAAUUAUAUUAGGUGAUAAUAAUUCAGGUAGGAAAUUCACACACCUUAUAGUUCAGAUAUAAGACUCAAAAAAUAAAAUACCAUAUAUGUGUUUUAACCCUGAAUUUUGUUUUAUAUUGUCAGUGCAUAAAACUAAACUGACACACCUGAUAAUUUAAGUAUGAAACUCAAAAAAUCAAAUACCGUAAUAUGCAUUUUUGACCCUUUAACUCUAUUUUAUAUUGUCAGUUCAUAAAAUUAAAAACUCUUAUAAGUAAAACUAUCUCUCUAUAUAUAUGUAUACGUAUAUAUUUAUCAGCACUCACUCCAUAUGUAUAUGUAUAUAUUUUUCAGUUUUUUCUGAAAAGUAAAACUAUUUAUAUAUAUAUAUAUAGAGAGAGAGAAUUUUAUUUAUCAUGACAAAUUGAUAAAUAUAUACAUAUAUAGGACAAGCUGGUAAAUAUAUACAUAUAUAGGACAAGCUGGUAAAUAUAUACAUAUAUAGGACAAGCUGGUAAAUAUAUAAAUAUAUAUAUAUAUAUUUAUAUAUUUACCAGCUUGUCCUAUAUAUGUAUAUAUUUAUCAUCUUAUCCUGAUAAAUAAAAUUAUCUUUAUAUGUAUAUGUAUAUAUUUACCAGUUUGUCAUGGUAAGUAAGACUCUCUCCAUAUGUAUAUGUAUAUAUUUAUCAUCUUAUCCUGAUAAAUAAAAUUAUCUCUAUAUGUAUAUGUAUAUAUUUACCAGCUUGUCCCAAUCUACAGGUACAGUAAUGGUGCAGGUAAUUGUUUUUCCAUUUGCAUCAGCUGGCCAAAGUCCAUGAAGUGUGAAUUCAUGAUCACGAAUUGGUUUAAUGCACUGAGCUGGAGGUCUUAGCUUCAGACAAAAUGUUGGUGGCCAUGUAAGCACAUACCACAUCAGUGCUGGUACAGGAGGGGCAUUUAUGGAGUCAUCAGCAUGAACUAAUAAAGUCGUUUUUUCUUGGCAACUAACAUUAGAAAUUAUUACAAGUAGAAUAACUAUGAGAACAAGAAAAAGAAGCAAAGAAAGUUUCUUCAUG
rnacentral:lncRNA from 1 species